rnacentral:rRNA from 1 species
CGAUGAAGGGGGAUAACUACUGGAAACGGUAGCUAAUACCGCAUAACGUCGCAAGACCAAAGAGGGGGACCUUCGGGCCUCUUGCCAUCGGAUGUGCCCAGAUGGGAUUAGCUAGUAGGUGGGGUAACGGCUCACCUAGGCGACGAUCCCUAGCUGGUCUGAGAGGAUGACCAGCCACACUGGAACUGAGACACGGUCCAG